CCGCGAGGCACGCUCUCCCGCCUCCUCUAAUCGCUUGUGGACCCCACCCACACCUCACACGCCGAAGUACCUUGGCCGCGAAUACUCACACACACACACACACACAUAUAUAGGGCGCACUGCCCACACCUCUCGCACCCAUCAAGAGCGAAUGGGGCAGUACACACGCGACGAGUGGUCGCUGUAGCGGCGCUGCUUCGCUGCAUACCCCCCGACGCCACGCGUCGCGCUCGGUGUGCGCGUGCCGGGCUCGGGUCUGGAUGGGCGGUCGCAUGCUCACGGUCUGCGGACCCGAUGGCGAGGGGGUCUCCCUCGACGAGCGCACCCGCGUCUCCGUGCAGAUCGCACCCGGGGGCACCCGGGGGGACUUGGCGCAGGCGCCACGGACGACGGCGCGGAUGCAGGCCACGCUGGCGCACCGGGCAGGGCGAAGGGGUGCGUUGUAGCCGAGGCCUGUGACUGCCGCUUCGCGUGCAGAACCACCAAGCAAACCGCCACAGCAAACUGCCAAGCGUCCGGAGGGGGUCCCCGGACAUUCACGUGCAUGUGCGCACCGCUGUCCCCGGGUGGCCAUGCGAGGACCCCAGCACCGUUUUCCCUCUCCACCCCCCGCGAGGGUUGGAAGGAGGGACGCGUGUGUGCGCACGUGCCUGCCCUCCCUGGCCCCCUCCCUCGAGCACUGCGCUCCUUUCACUCCCUAAUGCCUCUGUGCGUGUAUCUUGGUGCGCUCACCGGCAAGGCAGUUGCAGCAUGCACAACUGCGGCGUGCUCGAAGGGCAGGGCAGCGACGCGUGGGCGCGCGCGCGUACACGUGCGAGAGCCAAAAGUCUGCGCUCUCUUUCCUUGUGCGCGUUUCCCACGCCCUCCCCUGUCGUGGCUGCGGCCAGUGGAUCUGCUGUCAGCAAUCACGCCACUAGCCUGAAGCACGCUUCGCUGUCCCUCUCCCACAAACGGAUACGCGGCGAGUGGAGGAGCGCCCCCUCCCCUUCAUUGCAGAUCUACCCCGACCAUACCUCCUGAUGCUCUACCUCGCCCGCAGGCACCGCUGCCGCUCUCGGGGACGGGCAAGAGCGGCUCACCGGUCGGCAAGAAGGGCAGUGGCAGGCGUGGCGUGCUGCUGGCGCGUAUUCGCCGCGUUGGGGUGCGCCUUAUAAUUGUCGGCUUCAUCCUCUCUUCAUUCGUGCAGGCGCGUGUGUAUGCAGGAGUUGUGGACAGCUGACGCACACCGUAUGCUGAGCGUGGAGAGGCGAGCAUGUGGCGCUACGAGCAGGGUACAGAGCGCGUGCACCAGACGGCAGCCGCUGUCAUGUCCCUGUGUAGUCAGCGGGCCUUUGUGAUGCGGUCGGGAGAGGCACUGGCAACCCUGCGCUCGAGUUGGACAAAGGCUGCCGAUUUCGGGGACUCGCGGUGGCGUCGCGCCAGCCUCCGAGACCCUCAACUGUCUGCACGGAGGCGCCGCCAUCGGGUCACAAAGCACGCCGACGGGCUUUAUCCCCGUGCAACCGCAUCAUCUACAGCCGCUGCUACGUGGGCCCGAUGGCACACAAGCCCCAGCGGCCGCUGGCUGCGGCCAUCAAGCACCCGGACAGCUCGCAAAGCGUCCCUAAGGCCACCUUGAGCAGCUGCAGUAGCUGCCCAGCGCUUCAGCUGACAGCGAGGCGCUGCGCCGGUGAGAUCGCGUACAUGGAUCCACGCUCUGCAUGGAUUCGGCGCGACGGCCUGGCGCGCCGCAUCUACUUCGCACUGCCGGGAGCAUGCGUCUUCGGCGGCCAAAGGGCGUUGUGCGAGCUGUUUGCCCGGGCGCUGGCCUGCGACACCAGCCCCGCAAUGGCCGCCGCUGCGCUGCGCGAAGGAGCUGCUAGAGCUUCUGAAGGAUGGCGGAGAAGUGUUCUGUGAUGCGGUAGUGAGGGGUGACGUCACUGCUAAUCUCGAACUGCUUGGCGCAGUCGCUGUGGUGGAGAACCACAGCGGGUGUUCCAGGAGCGCGGCGUGGAGGCUGCUUUCCACGCAUCCCUCUGAGCGGCCGACGGCGGCGACGGUGUGAGAAGUCAAGGAAGCAAUGCGCGCAGAGAGUGGCUUGGCGUUUGAACAGAAUGAGUGUGAGUGCUUCUGUCCAGUACGACUUCGCGACGUCCCCGAUGCGAUGGCAAGGUUGGUUGCGGCUCAACUAUGGCUCGUGGUUGCAUCUCGCGAUCGUGUUUUUUUUCCCCUUUCCCGAGCUGUGAUGAUGCAGAUGCGUCACCUGCACAUCUUGUGUGUGUACCUGCUUACCCUUAUUGCCGUUAGCCACACCAUUGGCACUUGAACGCCACGCACGGGCGUGGCUGACGUAUUUGUUGGGGGAGGGGGAGAGGUGCGCAACGGACUCGCGAUUAGAAGGGUGUCCCCGCCUCUCCAUCGGAGGCUGUUGUGUUUUCUACUUGAAGCUGGUGAUGUGUGCUCCUCGAGUGUGCGUUCGCCCCUGUUGCGCACCCCCGCACUCACGCGGCCCCUAGAGCGGAAACGAUGGCCAUGUGAAACGGAGCGCCGAUGUACAGACAGCCUCUGUGCGGCCUCUCGGCCACACCGCUGGAAGGAGCCCUCUACCAUGCUGGAUUGUGCAAGAGGCCUCGUUUCUUUUUUUUCUUUGCAGCGCGUGCACGUGUGUUGUGUUGGCAGGGUAUGAAGUGCAUCACUGCGGGAAAGCAGUGAAUGGUGGAGAGGGUGAAGCGGGCCUCCUCCUCCCCCAGUGGCUUGCAUCUGUCCUCGGCUGCUGCACCUCUCUAGGUCCACUCCCCUCCCCUGCCUAUGUCGCACUGUUUGAUGAAUGGCCUCAACGACAGCCAUGAGUGUUUAUGUCUUGCUCUUGGGUAGCAGCGCAACCGGCUGGUAAACCUGUAAGCUUGUACCCCCGCAUGUUCGAGUUCUCUUUCCGCUUUUUGCUGGAGUACUGGGUGUGUGUGUGUGUGUGUGUGACCCUUCCUCUUUAUAGUGCCCCUCGUGCCGAGGCUUGUGCCCUUCUCCCUCUCCUUCCCUGCCUCUGACCCGAUUUCUAGCCCUCAUUUUGAUUCCCGGCCGGCGUUGUGGCGCUAGGCGAAGAAGCCCAUCAUGAUCAAUGUAGGUGUGCACACAACAGACGUACAUGUAUAUAUAACGUUUUGUGUUGAGCAUGUGUGUAUGUGGGCGUGGCGCCACAUCCCCAUUUCUAUCGCGCAUGUCUUCUUUUCUUGCUUCUCCCUCCUCAGCAGAGAACGGAGAGCAACCGCGUGUGUCUCUGUAUGCCUAAGCGAUCUCGUCUGCCUGCGUGAAGGUUUAUCCGAGUGCGCGUGCUGUAUGUUGUCAUCAGCGCUGAUUCACUGUAUGCGUACUCUUUUGGUUUGGCUGCGUGUAUGGGCGUCCAUCUCGUUUCCAUUCGCUUCUCUGGCCUCCCCUCCCCACUCCCUCUCCACCCGAACCUCUCGCUGUGGUUGGCAUCUCAUACUUCGCUUCCCCCCUCCUCCCGUCGUCCCCGCCAGCCCCGAUCUGUUUUUCCUGCUUGUGCGAGCCUUCCUGUACGCCUGCUACGCCAUGCACUCACCCCUCCCUC
rnacentral:misc_RNA from 1 species